GUGGGGAAUCUUAGACAAUGGGGGCAACCCUGAUCUAGCCAUGCCGCGUGAUCGAUGAAGGCCUUAGGGUUGUAAAGAUCUUUCAGCUGGGAAGAUAAUGACGGUACCAGCAGAAGAAGCCCCGGCUAACUCCGUGCCAGCAGCCGCGGUAAUACGGAGGGGGCUAGCGUUGUUCGGAAUUACUGGGCGUAAAGCGCACGUAGGCGGAUUGGAAAGUUGGGGGUGAAAUCCCGGGGCUCAACCCCGGAACUGCCUUCAAAACUCCCAGUCUUGAGGUCGAGAGAGGUGAGUGGAAUUCCGAGUGUAGAGGUGAAAUUCGUAGAUAUUCGGAAGAACACCAGUGGCGAAGGCGACUCACUGGCCCAAUACUGACGCUGAGGCGCGAAAGCGUGGGGAGCAAACAGGAUUAGAAACCCGAGUAGUCC
rnacentral:rRNA from 1 species